rnacentral:lncRNA from 1 species
AACUGCACAAACCAAAGCUCCUGGCCCGCAACAGCAUAAACUGUGUACGGCAAAAUUAUCAUCAAAAUCAUUGUUAAAUUCAUCAUUCAUUUGAACUACCUUAUGACUUGAUCACUCCUCAACCGAGGGUACAUAGGCAACUUGAAACGUCAACACUCCAAGUACAGUCACACCAUCUAAAAAAAAACACUUUGAAGAAUGAAGAGCAAAUUCAAAAAUGUAAAUACUUUAUUUCUUUAAAAGAAGGAGUCGGCUCCAAAGCCUGAUUACAAGAAGAAAAAAAAUAGAAGAUACUACUUGAAAACUAUGUCCCUAAAACUACGAAGGCAAUCUUCAAGCAAGCCUUCCAAAGUCUUCAAAGUCUCUACCUCGGUGGGAGACAAGAUGGGCAACUCCAUAGUCAUGCCUUUCUCUCAUUUGAAGUGUGAAAUCUCCUCUUGGCAUUGAGAAAGUGUAGUUCCCUACUUCGCGAGAAAACUUUCAAAUUGCGAUGCUUCGAUUACCAAUUCCUCCCGCUCUCGUACCAACGCAUCUAGACACAUCUGGACAGAAGUUAAAGAAGCAUCUGUAACUUGAUAAUCUCCCGAAGCGGCUUGCUGAAAAGACUGGACUUGAGCCAGUGACAAGUUUAUUGUUGCUAGCUGAUGAGCUCUAACAUCUGGACUCAACUUCUCCAAGGAAAUAGCACGCAAGGAAGAAUACUCAGUCGAGGUGGCCAUAAGUUCGGCAAUCUUGAUCUUCAAGGAUGAAGAAUCAACGUUAAG